rnacentral:rRNA from 1 species
CCCUUAGAUGUUCUGGGCUGCACGCGCGCUACACUGAUGCAUGCAACGAGUUUUCGACCUUGCCUGAAAAGGUUGGGUAAUCUGUUUAACAUGUGUCGUGAUGGGGAUAGACCAUUGCAAUUAUUGAUCUUCAACGAGGAAUUCCUAGUAAGCGCGAGUCAUCAGCUCGCGCUGAUUACGUCCCUGCCCUUUGUACACACCGCCCGUCGCUACUACCGAUUGGAUGGUUUAGCGAGAACUUUGGACCGGAGCUCGGGUGGUCAGCAAUGGCCGCCCGAGACAUACUGGGAAAUCGCUCCAGCUUGAUCAUCUAGAGGAAGUAAAAGUCGUAACA